rnacentral:SRP_RNA from 2 species
GCCAGGUGUGGUGGUGCACACCUGUAGUCCCAGCUACUCAGGAGGCUGAGGCAGAAGAAUCACUUGAACCCAGGAGGCGGAGGUUGCAGUGAGCGGAGAUUGUGCCACUGUACUGCAGCCUGGGUGACAGAGUGAGACUCUGUCUCAA